UGGUGGCAUGACCGUGAGCGCCUGUUCGAGGAAAGCCGUUACACUUUUUCGUCGGGACUUCAAAGGCUUAAAUGGGAGCUCCGCGUUCUCACCACCCGAAACAAUUGGAGUGGUAACGGAGAGAGAGGUGGAGAGGCCGAAGCGACUCCUCGUAGUCAUCUUCGCCCUUGUCUCUUCCGCCUCUCUCUCUCUCUCUCUCUCUCUCUCUCUCUCUCUCUCUCGAUUUCUUCCGUUGGUGGAUUUAGAUGUAAAUAUGUUGAAUCUUUGGGCGUGGUGAGACCCUUCAUUGGUUUCCCGGCCGACAACGAAAGAGAAGGCUGACCGGCUUCUAGGGUUUCUUGGUUAUUUUCUUGGAUUAUCUUGGGUGAAAAGCAUGAGGACGAGGCCUCGAGAUGACGACAAUGCAUCCAGUUCGAUGUGGCCUAAGCAAUCUAGAGGCGCAUCGUGAGCUCCCUGAUCAUGUUUCACUAUCCCUUACCGUUUUCUUGAAUUUCACCCUUUUCUGUUUAUCUCCACACGAUCUCUUCUUCUAUGCUUCUCAAUGGAAUCUUUCGUUGUUUUGUGUACUGCAGAUGAUCGCUCGCUAUGACAUGCUAUAGACCGUGUUCUUGCUGUUCUAUAAUUCCAUGUAUUAGUACUUCGAUUUGGGGGCAUAAUUUCAUCUUUAUUGUUUUCUUUAUUGAGUUGAAGGUCCAGUCAUAGUGAUUCUAAGCCAGGAAGGGGUGAUGCCAGAGAGUUCCUGGCUAUAGUCAAAAGGGCACUUCACGAUGAAGCACAUACACAUGAUCAAUUCCUUGAUAUCAUGAAGAGUUUAGAGAAUUCAAGUAUCACUCCAAUUGAGGCUAGCAGAAGGGUAGAGAACUACUUAAAGUGCAUCCUGACUUGGUUGUGCAGUUCCGCAAUUUUGCCCUCACCAAAAUGAUGCCAGCACGCCAACUUUGUCUGAAUUAUAUCAAAGGAAUAAUGGCAAUUAUUAUACCUUACAAUUGAUCUCUCUUAUGUUGGUGUGCCUGUGUGCACGCAUGUCUGUGUGCAUGCAUGUGGAUAUUAGCUAUUUACUUAUUCUGUUGGCAUUAAUAGUUUCUAGUAUAAUGUGCUUAACUUUUCUUUUCUUUCCUGCAGAAUCGUUUUUCAGAUGAACCUGACAAGUACUGUUCGAUUUGGACAUCCUGAUAAUCCAUAGGACUAAUUGCAUGUUCAUUGAUGACGUUUAGCAAGAGGUUUUAGGUGUUUUUUUUUUUUUUUUGUAUAAGCUUGAUUGUGCGAGUAUUUAUUUUUGGAUAUAUCUUGACUUGAAGUUUCCAGCUGUCCAUAUUACUUGGCACCAUGAUGAUUUGCUUUCAGCGUUAAAGUCUCUCUUACCUGCUGGACAUGGAGCAGAGUCUAUUCAUCAGACAUCGUCUUGUAGAUCUUUAGGGUACCAGAACGAAGACAAUGAAGAACGAAAUCCUAGCAAAGCAGAUUUAGAGCUUGAUCUUUCUAAUUGUCAGCAGUGUACCCUUGUUCCUGCUUCCUGCCUGAGAAUUAUCAAAUGCCUCCUGCAAGCAACGGACUUGAGCUGGAUGCAUCGGUACUGAAUAAUGUUGUGGUAUCCAAAACUUCUGGAUGUAAGGAUUCUUCUAAGGACAGGCAAAGAAACAAGUAUGAAAAAAUGGUUUGAGUCAGAUAUGCUAUUAGAGAUUAUUAGUGCAACUACUGGGGUUGAAGGAUUUGCUAGCAAAGCUCGAGGAUGACAAAGAUGAACUAGAAAUCAAUUUCCAAUCGAAGAAUGGAUACAUGGAGACUACAAGCUGGACGUUGUGGAUCAGCUACAGGAGAACCCUGGUGUGGUAUUGCCUCGCGUAUUAAUUCCUUUGAAGCAGAAGCACAAAGAGUGGGUGAUAUGUAUGAAGACGGUGCAGAAGGGCUCGACUGCAAAAGGUGACUUCGUUAUGAAAGGUACCAUUUAUUUCUUCGUGGACUUUGUCUUUUCUUACAUUACUUUUAGUCUGAGCAGAUUACAUAUGCAGUAAGGUUAGAAGGAACAAAUGGAAACAUCUACAGUUAACUGGCCUUUUACUGAAGUCUACUAAUUGUCUUGUUCAACAUCUGCUUAGCUUUUGUAAUCUGGUUUUGGUAAAUCCUCCUGUUUCUGGUAGUCUUUUUAACUUCUGCUGACGAGA